rnacentral:rRNA from 1 species
UACGGGGGGGGCAAGCGUUGUUCGGAAUUACUGGGCGUAAAGGGCUCGUAGGCGGCCAACUAAGUCAUACGUGAAAUCCCUCGGCUUAACCGGGGAACUGCGUCUGAUACUGGAUGGCUUGAGUUCGGGAGAGGGAUGCGGAAUUCCAGGUGUAGCGGUGAAAUGCGUAGAUAUCAGAAGGAACAUCAGUGGCGAAGGCGGCCUCCUGGACCAAUACUGACGAUCAGGUGCGAAAGCGUGGGGAGCAAACAGG